ensembl:lncRNA
UGAAGGUGUUGAUGGUGGUUUUAGUGAUGGUGCUGAUGAUGGUGAUGCUGAAGGUCUUGGUGAUGGUGAUGGUGUUGGUGAUAGUGAUGGUGAUGGUAUAGGUGAUGCUGAAGGUGUUGAUGGAUUUAGUGAUAGUGCUGGUGAUGGCCAUGAUGCUGAAGUUGUUGGUGAUGGUGUUGGUGGUGCUGAAGGUGUUGGUGAUGGUGAUAGUGCUGGUGAUGGUGAUGCUGAUGGUGUUGGUGAUGUUGAUGGAUUUAGUGAUAGUGCUGGUGAUGGCCGUGAUGGUGUUGGUGAUGCUGAAGGUGUUGAUGUUGGUGUUAGUGAUAGUGCUGGUAAUGGUCGUGAUGCUGAAGGUGUUGUGGUGGUUCUGAAGGUGUUGGUGGUUUUAGUGAUAGUGCUGGUGAUGGCUAUGUUGGUGAUGGUGUUGGUGAUGCUGAAAGUGUUGGUGUUAGUGCUGGUGAUGGCCAUGAUGCUGAAGGAGUUGGUGAAGCUGAAGGUGUUGAUGCUAGUGAUGGUGAUGGUCAUGAUGGGGAUGCUGAAGGUGUUGAUGUUGGUGUUAGUGAGUGCUGGUGAUGGUUAUGAUGUUGGUGUUGGUGAUGCUGAAGGUGUUGGUGAUGCUGAAGGUGUUGAUGUUGGUGUUGGUGAUAGUGCUGGUGAUGGUCAUGAUGUUGGUGUUGGUGAUGCUGAAGGUGUUGAUGUUGGUGUUAGUGAGUGCUUGUGAUGGUCAUGAUGUUGGUGUUGGUGAUGCUGAAGGUGUUGGUGUUGGUGAUGCUGAAGGUGUUGAUGUUGGUGUUGGUGAUAGUGCUGGUGAUGGUCAUGAUGUUGGUGUUGGUGAUGCUGAAGGUGUUGGUGAUGCUGAAGGUGCUGAUGUUGGUGAUAGUGCUGGUGAUGGUCAUGAUGUUGGUAUUGGUGAUGCUGAAGGUGUUGAUGUUGGUGUUGGUGAUAGUGCUGGUGAUGGUCAUGAUGUUGGUAUUGGUGAUGCUGAAGGUGUUGAUGUUGGUGUUGGUGAUAGUGCUGGUGAUGGUUAUGAUGUUGGUGUUGGUGAUGCUGAAGGUGUUGAUGGUGUUGGUGAUAGUGCUGGUGAUGGUUAUGAUGUUGGUGUUGGUGAUAGUGCUGGUGAUGGUCAUGAUGUUGGUGUUGGUGAUGCUGAAGGUGUUGAUGUUGGUGUUGGUGAUAGUGCUGGUGAUGGUUAUGAUGUUGGUGUUGGUGAUAGUGCUGGUGAUGGUCAUGAUGCUGAUGGUGUUGGUAAUGGUGAUGGUAUUGAUGGUAUUGCUGUUGUGAGCAGUGGUGUGUGGGAUGGAGAGAUGAAGAAGAAGAAGAAGAAGAAGAAGAAGAAGAAGAAGAAGAAGAAGAAGAGCAGGAGGCGGAGAACGAGGAGGAGGAGAAAAUGAAUGAUGGCAGUAUUGGAGCUGCAAAGAG